AGCGAACAUUGGCGGUAGGCUUAACACAUGCAAGUCGAGCGAGGCGUAAUAGUCGAGCGGCGAACGGGUGCGUAAUACAUGGGAAUCUACCUCGAAGUGGGGGAUAACGUCCAGAAAUGGACGCUAAUACCGCAUAAUCCAUAUUGGGAAAGCGUUGCAGCGCUUUGAGAUGAGCCCAUGGCUGAUUAGCUAGUUGGUGAGGUAAUGGCUCACCAAGGCGACGAUCAGUAGCUGGUCUGAGAGGAUGACCAGCCACACUGGAACUGAGACACGGUCCAGACUCCUACGGGAGGCAGCAGUGGGGAAUCUUGCGCAAUGGGGGCAACCCUGACGCAGCCAUACCGCGUGAGUGAUGAAGGUCUUCGGAUUGUAGAGCUCUUUCGGCGGGGACGACGAUGACGGUACCGCAAAAGAAGUCACGGCUAACUUCGUGCCAGCAGCCGCCGCAG
rnacentral:rRNA from 1 species